rnacentral:tRNA from 1 species
GGGCGCGUAGCUCAGCGGUAGUAGCACUUGCUUCACACGCAAGGGGUCACAGGUUCAAAUCCUGUCGCGCCCACCA